AAUCCUUUGUUUAAAGCUUAAAUUACUUGUUCAAGUUACUUCCGCAACACUAUCUUAUAAGCUUCACAAUAUAUCUUGUUAAUCAUAUCAAAUUGGAUACAAUUAUUGUUGUCUGAUUAUCUAUUCAAAUCGGAUAUUUAAUGUUUUUGUUUGAUUCGUUAGUUGGUGAGAAAAGGUGUUGGAUAGCUAUUAGUCUACUGCCAAACACAUAAUCAAAUUGGAUGAUUGGUUUUGGUUUCAGAAAGUAACGCGCUUUACACGGCCUAAUGAACUAGUCACAAGAUAAGACCGACAAAAGUAUCUUCAAAUUGAUGAGAAACACACAAAGCAAAGUUCGAUGGCAGACACUGAAAUCAUUAACCCACAUAAAAAAAAAAAAGAGGAAAAACAAAAGAAAAUCAA